rnacentral:rRNA from 1 species
CACUCCUGCGGGAGGCAGCAGUGGGGAAUAUUGGACAAUGGGCGCAAGCCUGAUCCAGCCAUGCCGCGUGAGUGAUGAAGGCCCUAGGGUUGUAAAGCUCUUUCACCGGUGAAGAUAAUGACGGUAACCGGAGAAGAAGCCCCGGCUAACUUCGUGCCAGCAGCCGCGGUAAUACGAAGGGGGCUAGCGUUGUUCGGAUUGACUGGGCGUAAAGCGCACGUAGGCGGACUAUUAAGUCAGGGGUGAAAUCCCGGGGCUCAACCCCGGAACUGCCUUUGAUACUGGUAGUCUUGAGUUCGAGAGAGGUGAGUGGAAUUCCGAGUGUAGAGGUGAAAUUCGUAGAUAUUCGGAGGAACACCAGUGGCGAAGGCGGCUCACUGGCUCGAUACUGACGCUGAGGUGCGAAAGCGUGGGGAGCAAACAGGAUUAGAUACCCGAGUAGUCCCAUG